rnacentral:autocatalytically_spliced_intron from 2 species
GUAACGACUUGUUCCGCUUUUAGCGGACGGAGUUGGGAAACGCGAAGUUAUUGUUUCCCGGCUAAUACGCCGAGACCCCACUCUAAAAUUUUAGAAGGGUUAAGAUAUAGUCUGCGCACAUGGUGACAUGUGA